rnacentral:rRNA from 1 species
GACGAACGCUGGCGGCGUGCUUAACACAUGCAAGUCGAGCGGUAAGGCCCUUUCGGGGGUACACGAGCGGCGAACGGGUGAGUAACACGUGGUGACCUGCCCUCAGCUCUGGGAUAAGCCUGGGAAACUGGGUCUAAUACUGGAUAUGACUCCACGGUGCAUGUCGUGGGGUGGAAAGCCUUGUGCGGCUGAGGAUGGGGCCCCGCGGCCCUAGUCGAGCUUGUUGGUGGGGUGA